rnacentral:tRNA from 1 species
GCCUUAAAUAAGAGUUAAACUCUCUUAGUUUCUG